UGGGGAAUAUUGGACAAUGGGCGAAAGCCUGAUCCAGCAAUGCCGCGUGAGUGAUGAAGGCCUUAGGGUUGUAAAGCUCUUUUACCCGGGAUGAUAAUGACAGUACCGGGAGAAUAAGCCCCGGCUAACUCCGUGCCAGCAGCCGCGGUAAUACGGAGGGGGCUAGCGUUGUUCGGAAUUACUGGGCGUAAAGGGCGCGUAGGCGGCCACCGCAAGUCGGUUGUGAAAUCUCCGGGCUUAACCCGGAAAGGUCAAUCGAUACUGCGGGGCUAGAGUGCAGAAGGGGCAACUGGAAUUCUCGGUGUAGCGGUGAAAUGCGUAGAUAUCGAGAGGAACACCUGCGGCGAAGGCGGGUUGCUGGGCUGACACUGACGCUGAUGUGCGAAAGCUAGGGGAGCGAAC
rnacentral:rRNA from 1 species